rnacentral:rRNA from 1 species
UACAGAGGGUGCGAGCGUUAAUCGGAAUUACUGGGCGUAAAGCGUGCGUAGGCGGCUGUCUAAGUCGGGUGUGAAAGCCCCGGGCUCAACCUGGGAAUUGCAUUCGAGACUGAAUAGCUAGGGUGCGGUAGAGGGAAGCGGAAUUUCCGGUGUAGCGGUGAAAUGCGUAGAUAUCGGAAGGAACAUCAGUGGCGAAAGCGGGUUCCGGGACCAGCACGGACGUUCAGGCACGAAAGCGUGGGGAGCAAACGGG